rfam:Trichuris muris Edinburgh genomic scaffold, scaffold21
GCCGUGGUGGACGAGUGCUUAAGGCGUUGGAUUUGAAAUCCAAUGGGUUAUAUCUGUACAGGUACAAAUCCUGUCCACAUCG